UGAGGGACAGAUGCCAGAAGCA
rnacentral:miRNA from 3 species